rnacentral:lncRNA from 1 species
GCUUUGUUGGCCCACAUUAGUUCUUUUGCUAAGCCUAGCAAAAUAAAAAUGAUUGGAUCUCCAAUGGGUUGGGCUUGCUGCCCAGAGUCACACAUUUAGAAGCAAGAGAUGUCAGAAGACUCAUGUGACCAAGGAUUCCUCUUAGGCUGAGCAGCCUGGUAGGACCAUAUGGACCAAGAUACUCCCAGGGACUGUGGCCAGAAGGAUUGUGGGAAGGCAACAAAAGAUUCCUCCAGCCCUGCUCCUUGUCUUUCUGCCUUUAUGGGCCUGAUGAUAACAGCUCCCAUUUCUAUCUUUGACAAAGGACAGUAACCCUAUGAGGUCUCAGUUUUGUCCUCUACAGCAGGCUGAACUAGCUUAAUCUCUCUCCAUAGAUGACACUUCAAAUAUUGGAAAACAAUCACCAUCUUUAUCCUAAGACUUCCAUUUUCCAAGAUGAAGUCUUAUAUUUUCCAGGGUGAAGUCUUCUGCUCUGCAGAAUAAAGAUUCUUAAUUCCUUCA